UACGUAGGGUGCAAGCGUUAAUCGGAAUUACUGGGCGUAAAGCGUGCGCAGGCGGUUAUGCAAGACAGAUGUGAAAUCCCCGGGCUCAACCUGGGAACUGCAUUUGUGACUGCAUGGCUAGAGUACGGCAGAGGGGGGAUGGAAUUCCGCGUGUAGCAGUGAAAUGCGUAGAUAUGCGGAGGAACACCGAUGGCGAAGGCAAUCCCCUGGGCCUGUACUGACGCUCA
rnacentral:rRNA from 1 species